rnacentral:rRNA from 1 species
GAUGAACGCUGGCGGCGUGCCUAAUACAUGCAAGUCGAGCGAACGGACGAGAAGCUUGCUUCUCUGAUGUUAGCGGCGGACGGGUGAGUAACACGUGGAUAACCUACCUAUAAGACUGGGAUAACUUCGGGAAACCGGAGCUAAUACCGCAUAAUAUUUUGAACCGCAUGGUUCCAAAGUGAAAUACGCUCUUGCUGUCACUUAUAGAUGGAUCCGCGCUGCAUUAGCUACUUGGUAAGGUAACGGCUUACCAAGGCAACGAUGCAUAGCCGACCUGAGGGGGUGAACGGCCAGACUGGAAGUGAGGCAGGGUCCAGACUCCUGCGGGAGGCAGCAGAUGGGAAUCUUCCGCGAUGGGCGAGAGCCUGACGGAGCAACGCCGCGUGAGUGAUGAAGGUCUUCGGAUCGUAAAACUCUGUUAUUAGGAAAGAACAUAUGUGUAAUUAACUGUGCACAUCUUGACGGUACCUAAUCAGAAAGCCACGGCUAACUACGUG